rnacentral:rRNA from 1 species
CAGUCGCCGCGGUAAGACGGAGGGUGCUAGCGUUGUUCGGAAUCACUGGGCGUAAAGGGCGCGUAGGCGGCCUGUUAAGUCGGAUGUGAAAGCCCGGGGCUCAACCCCGGAACUGCAUCCGAGACUGGCAGGCUUGAGACCGGGAGAGGAGGGUGGAAUAUCCAGUGUAGAGGUGAAAUUCGUAGAUAUUGGAUGGAACACCGGUGGCGAAAGCGGCUCUCUGGCCCGGAUCUGACGCUGAGGCGCGAAAGCGUGGGGAGCAAACAGGAUUAGAUACCCCUGUAGUCCCUGUCUCUUAUAC